GAUGAACGCUAGCUACAGGCUUAACACAUGCAAGUCGAGGGGCAGCGGUAUCGAAAGCUUGCUUUCGGUAGCCGGCGACCGGCGCACGGGUGAGUAACGCGUAUCGAACCUGCCUCAUACUCGGGAAUAGCCUUGCGAAAGUAAGAUUAAUGCCCGGUGUUUUCAGAGUCCCGCAUGAGGCUUUGAACAAAGAUUUAUCGGUAUGAGAUGGCGAUGCGUCCCAUUAGCUUGUUGGCGGGGUAACGGCCCACCAAGGCAUCGAUGGGUAGGGGUUCGAAGAGGAAGGUCCCCCACAUAGGAACUGAGACACGGUCCAAGCUCCUACGGGAGGCAGCAGUGAGGAAUAUUGGUCAAUGGGCGGAAGCCUGAACCAGCCAAGUAGCGUGCAGGAAGACGGCCCUCCGGGUUGUAAACUGCUUUUAGUUGGGAAUAAAACGGGGCUCGUGAGCCCCCUUGCAUGUACCAUCAGAAAAAGGACCGGCUAAUUCCGUGCCAGCAGCCGCCGUAA
rnacentral:rRNA from 1 species